CCCUGUUUGGCAUAAUGGUUUGAGUGUUGUACUAUGACUGUGGAGACAAGGGUUCAAUUCCCUACUUGGCCA